rnacentral:lncRNA from 1 species
UGGGAGAUAGCUUCCUCUUACGGCCUUCAGUUUUUUCUACGUCUAACGUACACUACUACAACUGUAAUGUGAAAUUUUGGAAAAUUCUAGGGGUCAUUUGACCUUUUAAAGACAUUUAAGUGAUUUUCUAGCCAUUUAAUGACCGUAAUUCAAAUUUAAACUACAUCUACAUGGAACGGCUAACCAAAACGGUUUGAAAAAUCAUGUUUGUUUACUUAUGUGCGAGUUAAUUCUAUGUGCAGUAAAUUAAAAGGAAUUUUCAAACAUAUGUGUCUCACGACAUGGACACAUGCAUACGUAUGCAUGGAGUGACAUGGCAUUUUAAUUCCAAAAAACUUAAAAAAAACAGGAACACAUGAAACCUUGGUUGAUGUAAUGUCAUGCCACCAAGAUGAUGUGGUAAAAAAUUGGCAUGUUUGACGAAAGUUUGGACACACACCCCUCACAAAUCGGAGCAACUCACUAGGAGGCUCGUUGUUCCGAGUGGGAGCAAUGCAUGUUUGAUGACGAACGUGAGAUAGUUUCCUCUUACGGCCUUCAAUUAUUUUUCAUCGUCUAACGUGCACUACUACAACUGUAAUGUGAAAUUUUGGAAAAAUCUAGGGGUCAUUUGACCUUUUAAAGACAUUUAAGUGAUUUUCUAGCCAUUUAAUGACCGUAAUUCAAAUUUGAACUGCAUCUACAUGCAACUCCUAACCAAAACGGUUUGAAAAAUCAUAUUUGUGUACUUGUGUGCGAGUUAAUUCUAUGUACAUUAAAUUAGAAGGAAUUUUCAAACAUAUUUGUCUAACGAGAUUGCCACAUGCAUACGUAUGCAUGGAGUGACAUGGCACUUUAAUUCCAAAAAAAUUAAAAAAUAUCAGAAACACAUGAAACCUUGGUUCAUGUAAGAUCAUGCCACCAAGAUGAUGUGGUAAAAAAUGGCAUGUUUGACGAAAGUUUGGACACAAACCCUUCACAAACCGAAGCAACUCACUAGAAGGCUCGUGGUUCCAAGGGGGAACAAUGCAUGUUUGAUGACGAACGGGGGAUAGCUUCCUCGUAAGGCCUUCAAUUUUUUUACGUUUAACGUGCACUACUACAACUGUAAUAAGAAAUUUUGGAAAAUUAUAGGGGUCAUUUGACCUUUUAAAGUCGUUUAAGUGAUUUUCUAGCCAUUUAAUGACCGUAAUUCCAAUUUGAACUACAUCUACAUGCAAUGGCUAACAAAAACGGUUUGAAAAAUCAUUUUUGUGUACUUGUGUGCGAGUUAAUUCCAUGUGCAGUAAAUUAGAAGGAAUUUUCAAACAUAUUUGUCUCACGACAUGGACACAUGCAUACGUAUGCAUGGAGUGACAUGGCAUUUUAAUUCCAAAAAAUAAAAAAAUAUCAGAAACACAUGAAACCUUGGUUGAUGUAAUGUCAUGCCACCAAGAUGAUGUGGUAAAAAAAUGCCAUGUUUGACGAAAGGUUGGACACACACCCGUCACAAACCGGAGCAACUCACUAGAAGGAUGGUGGUUCCGAGAGGGAACAAUGCAUGUUUGAUGACGAAUGGGAGAUAGUUUCCUCUUACGGCCUUCAAUUUUUUUCUACGUCUAAUGUGCACUACUACAACUGUACUGUGAAAUCUUGGAAAAUUCAAGGGGUCAUUUAAACUUUUUAAGACAUUUAAGUGAUUUCCUAGCCAUUUAAUGACCGUAAUUAAAAUUUAAACAACAUCUACAUGCAAUGGACCAAAACGGUUUGAAAAAUCAUAUUUGUGUACUUGUGUGCAUGCGUAUGCAUGGAGUGACAUGGCACUUUAAUUCCAAAAAAAUUAAAAAAUAUCAGAAACACAUGAAACCUUGGUUAAUGUAAUGUCAUGCCACCAAGAUGAUGUGGUAAAAAAAUGGCAUGUUUGACGAAAAUUUGGACACAAACCCCUCACAAAUGGGAGCAACUCACUAGAAGGCUCGUGGUUCCGCGAGGGAGCAUUGCAUGUUUGAUGACGAAGGUGAGAUAGUUUCCUCUUACGGCCUUCAAUUUUUAUCCACGUCUUACGUGCACUACUACAACUGUAAUGUGAAAUUUUGGAAAAAAUCUAGGGGUCAUUUGACCUUAAAGACAUUUAAGUGAUUUUCUAGCCAUUUAAUGACCGUAAUUCAAAUUUGAACUACAUCUACAUGCAAGGGCUAACCAAAACGGUUUGAAAAAUCAGAUUUGUGUACGUGUGUUUGAGUUAAUUCCAUGUACAAUAAAUUAGAAGGAAUUUUCAAACAUAUUUUUCUAACGAGAUGGACACAUGCAUACGUAUGCAUGGAGUGACAUGGCACUUUAAUUCCAAAAAAAUUAAAAAAUAUCAGAAACACAUGAAACCUUGGUUAAUGUAAUGUCAUGCCACCAAGAUGAUGUGGUAAAAAAAUGGCAUGUUUGACGAAAAUUUGGACACAAACCCUUCAGAAACCGAAGCAACUCACUAGAAGGCUCGUGGUUCCGAGGGGGAACAAUGCAUGUUUGAUGACGAACGGGAGAUAGCUUCCUCUUAC